CACGAACACCGCUGAACCUUACCUUCUCUGGUACUCCGACGGAAAUCGAAGUGCGUUCGAAUAUUUGAACGCCCUGUUAACAUUGGAUAUUUGAAUGAACGGCGCCUAUUCGACUGGAACUUAGCAUUUUGAACUAUGUGAAAUAGACCGACCGCACAGCCCAAAUCUAUGGAACUCUUUUGGGCAUGAAAGCCAUGCUUGCGGUCUGUCAAAUAUGACUUCCAUAGAAUUUGUGAACCCCUGCUCUGAUAUGGGUGAUUUUUG